rnacentral:rRNA from 1 species
CCUGUUAANUCAGCGGUGAAAUCUAGGAGCUUAACUCCUAAAUUGCCAUUGAUACUGGCGGGCUUGAGUGUAGAUGAGGUAGGCGGAAUGCGUGGUGUAGCUGUGGAAUGCAUAGAUAUCACGCAGAACUCCGAUUGCGAAGGCAGCUUACUAAGGUACAACUGACGCUGAAGCACGAAAGCGUGGGUAUCAAACAGGAUUAGAUACCCUGGUAGUCCACGCAGUAAACGAUGAUAACUGGGCGUAUGCGAUAUACAGUAUGCUCCUAAGCGAAAGCGUUAAGUUAUCCACCUGGGGAGUACGCCGGCAACGGUGAAACUCAAAGGAAUUGACGGGGGCCCGCACAAGCGGAGGAACAUGUGGUUUAAUUCGAUGAUACGCGAGGAACCUUACCCGGGAUUGAAAUGUAGAUGACGGCCGGUGAAAGUCGGCUUUCCUUCGGGACAUCUAUGUAGGUGCUGCAUGGUUGUCGUCAGCUCGUGCCGUGAGGUGUCGGCUUAAGUGCCAUAACGAGCGCAACCCCUGUCUACGGUUGCCAUCAGGUAAUGCUGGGAACUCCGUAGAGACUGCCGUCGUAAGGCGUGAGGAAGGUGGGGAUGACGUCAAAUCAGCACGGCCCUUACAUCCGGGGCGACACACGUGUUACAAUGGUAAGGACAAAGGGCAGCUACCUGGCGACAGGAUGCGAAUCUCAAAACCUUAUCACAGUUCGGAUCGGAGUCUGCAACUCGACUCCGUGAAGCUGGAUUCGCUAGUAAUCGCGCAUCAGCCAUGGCGCGGUGAAUACGUUCCCGGGCCUUGUACACACCGCCCGUCAAGCCAUGGGAGUCUGGAGU